UAGUAGAAGCGAAGAUCCCCGGAGAGGUGAAUGAGGAUUUUACCACUGGAACUAGAGAGCUAGGCUCUGACUGGUCUACUACAGCAAGGAAUGUGCCAGCGGCCAAUCUGACGAACAUGUGACAGAAGAUUUGGCAAUGGGUGAAGAAACACUGAGAUUGAAAUGCAACCACAGGUGGAGGCUUCACCCAAACUUUUCAGACGGAUAUGAGAUACAAAGUUACCCAAGUAUAAAUGGUUGAAAGUGUAGGAGAGCCAGACAAGAAGGCAGGAAAUUGAUGUCACUUUUACUUCAAUAAACAGCAUCAGCAGCCGAAACCACAACUGCAGUAAAAGAUGCAACAACCGCACCGACAACAUCAAGAGCAACAGCAAAAAUACCUAUUGCAGCAGAAAUGCAACAAUCACAUUGGCAACAUCAACAGCAGCAGGAGCUUCAACAACCAUGCAGGGAACAUAGGGCACAUCAUCAAUAAAUGCAUCAGGGGAUGCAACAGCCACACUUGUAAACAGUAGCGAUGACAAGAAGAACCAACCAGGCAACACCUUGAGCAACAUCAGUAGCAAUGCACCAGCAAUGAAACAAUCACACCCACAACACCAAGAGCAGCAGCAAAAAGAACAUAAAUUCCAGCAACCAUGAUGACAACAGCAGCGGCAACACCAACAACACUAAUGAAUGUUGAAAAA